CUCAAGUGAGCCUGGCUCCGGGCACGCGGCCUCGUGUUCCACCUGCGUUGAGUCCUGCCCCUCUCACUGCACUCCCCAGCUCGGAGACCACGGAGCUCCUCCCUCCCUGAGAUGCCGGUAAAGGUGUGAGUGACCGUGAGGGGCGGCACUGGAAUGCACACAGAGAAAUCCAGCCUCAGACCACAGACACGCUGGCUAUGGGCAUCUGUGGCUCCAGCCUGGCCACCACCGGACAGAAAGGGGCAAUGAAAAUCCAUGACAGGAAGACACAUUUGUCCAGCGAGGGCGAGGGGGUGCCAACCUGGUGUCUGCUGGACUGAGUCUUGAUUUUUCCAAGCUAACAAGGAUGGAUGUGCGAGGCCUCUCCAGCCUCAGCUUCCCCGGCUCGCAGCUGCUGGUUGCGCUGGUCAAUGGCCUCAUUCACCGACGGGAAGUCGUUGAGGAUGAGGAACUGCUUCAGGUCAGACACCAGCUUCAUCAGGGACUCGCCAGCUCGGACCUGCGGCCGCGGGGAUCGGGGGCGUGGUGAGGGACUGCCUGCCUCCCGUGCCUGACGCUGGGUAGGCAAUGGCAGCAGUGGCCUCCUCUGCGAAGUGGGGCUACGGCAUUCACACAGGGUCGUUGUCAGAAGUGAGGGACUGGAAGGCGAGGAGGGGGCGGCGGGGUCCCUGGCAGCCACUGCAGGCACGUGAAUCGCUGCCUAGGCAGGUGCCAUUGGGCUUCUGGCUGCCACUCCUGCAGGUGUGACGGCCAAUCGCACGCUUUAUUCAAUCACGUAUCCUGCUUCUGAAAACCUCGAACCCCAGACAAAACUGCCGUCCGUUUAACCUGCCCUAUUCUUCCUCAGGACCAGCAUACCUGCCAGUUGGGGGGGACUCGUUUAGGACCCCGUGGUAUGCAUUUCCAACGUGGGUGUGGACCCAUGGAAACGCUUGGCGGCUUUGCUUAUCCUGUGGCAUGGAAAGGGAUCAAGACGCCUGUCCUGUUUCGUCUGGCCGUUUGCUUCCUGCAUUUACAGAACCUUCACUUACAAGGAAUCUUCGUUUAUAGAGAGCCUGCACUUAGAGAGGACCUUCAGAGAGGAAGGGCUGACCUCUUUGUAACCCCUGCCCAGCACUCGACAUCGUGACUGUACCCACUACCUGCCAGCCCCUCCCUCAGCUGCUGAGGAAAGCCCUCCCCUGGAAGGGAGUCUCCUGAGAAGCGGUUUGCCCCUCUGCCCCCUGGGAACCCCAGUAGGGACCACAGGCUUCUGGAGCCCAGACUGUCCCCUCCACCUGGCGACUCACGAUGUUGGCGGCUCUCACGUGCAUUUCGUAGUUGUCCUGCUCGCCCUGAGUGGCCCUUGACACCUGCGUCUCGUCCUCAAUCUGCGGGGCAAACGAGAAAGUCCAGCGUGGGCAGGUGCCCUGGCCCACAGGUGCCUGGCGGCGACGGCAGUGCACCCCCACUCGCCACGCCCUGUGGCCCGUUGUGCCCUCUGCACCAGGCGCCGCCCCCAGACCUCGGGCUGCGUGCACCAGCACCCCCCGCCCCGUUCUGAGGGGUAACGGGCACCCUCACAGGACCAACAGAUGCCCAAGUACGAAGGCUGCUGUGCCAGGUGCAAGGAGGGGUUGCCCCCAUCUUUUUAGCUUGGGCAGUCAGUGACCUGCUGAAUGGAUGAA